rnacentral:rRNA from 1 species
GACGAACGCUGGCGGCGUGCCUAAUACAUGCAAGUCGAACGAACUCUGGUAUUGAUUGGUGCUUGCAUCAUGAUUUACAUUUGAGUGAGUGGCGAACUGGUGAGUAACACGUGGGAAACCUGCCCAGAAGCGGGGGAUAACACCUGGAAACAGAUGCUAAUACCGCAUAACAACUUGGUCCGCAUGGUCCGAGUUUGAAAGAUGGCUUCGGCUAUCACUUUUGGAUGGUCCCGCGGCGUAUUAGCUAGAUGGUGAGGUAACGGCUCACCAUGGCAAUGAUACGUAGCCGACCUGAGAGGGUAAUCGGCCACAUUGGGACUGAGACACGGCCCAAACUCCUACGGGAGGCAGCAGUAGGGAAUCUUCCACAAUGGACGAAAGUCUGAUGGAGCAACGCCGCGUGAGUGAAGAAGGGUUUCGGCUCGUAAAACUCUGUUGUUAAAGACGAACAUAUCUGAGAGUAACUGUUCAGGUAUUGACGGUAUUUAACCAGAAAGCCACGGCUAACUACGUGCCAGCAGCCGCGGUAAUACGUAGGUGGCAAGCGUUGUCCGGAUUUAUUGGGCGUAAAGCGAGCGCAGGCGGUUUUUUAAGUCUGAUGUGAAAGCCUUCGGCUCAACCGAAGAAGUGCAUCGGAAACUGGGAAACUUGAGUGCAGAAGAGGACAGUGGAACUCCAUGUGUAGCGGUGAAAUGCGUAGAUAUAUGGAAGAACACCAGUGGCGAAGGCGGCUGUCUGGUCUGUAACUGACGCUGAGGCUCGAAAGUAUGGGUAGCAAACAGGAUUAGAUACCCUGGUAGUCCAUACCGUAAACGAUGAAUGCUAAGUGUUGGAGGGUUUCCGCCCUUCAGUGCUGCAGCUAACGCAUUAAGCAUUCCGCCUGGGGAGUACGGCCGCAAGGCUGAAACUCAAAGGAAUUGACGGGGGCCCGCACAAGCGGUGGAGCAUGUGGUUUAAUUCGAAGCUACGCGAAGAACCUUACCAGGUCUUGACAUACUAUGCAAAUCUAAGAGAUUAGACGUUCCCUUCGGGGACAUGGAUACAGGUGGUGCAUGGUUGUCGUCAGCUCGUGUCGUGAGAUGUUGGGUUAAGUCCCGCAACGAGCGCAACCCUUAUUAUCAGUUGCCAGCAUUAAGUUGGGCACUCUGGUGAGACUGCCGGUGACAAACCGGAGGAAGGUGGGGAUGACGUCAAAUCAUCAUGCCCCUUAUGACCUGGGCUACACACGUGCUACAAUGGAUGGUACAACGAGUUGCGAACUCGCGAGAGUAAGCUAAUCUCUUAAAGCCAUUCUCAGUUCGGAUUGUAGGCUGCAACUCGCCUACAUGAAGUCGGAAUCGCUAGUAAUCGCGGAUCAGCAUGCCGCGGUGAAUACGUUCCCGGGCCUUGUACACACCGCCCGUCACACCAUGAGAGUUUGUAACACCCAAAGUCGGUGGGGUAACCUUUUAGGAACCAGCCGCCUAAGGUGGGACAGAUGAUUAGGGUG